GAUGAACGCUGGCGGCGUGCCUAAUACAUGCAAGUCGAGCGAACAGACGAGGAGCUAGCUCCUCUGACGUUAGCGGCGGACGGGUGAGUAACACGUGGAUAACCUACCUAUAAGACUGGGAUAACUUCGGGAAACCGGAGCUAAUACCGGAUAAUAUAUUGAACCGCAUGGUUCAAUAGUGAAAGACGGUUUUGCUGUCACUUAUAGAUGGAUCCGCGCCGCAUUAGCUAGUUGGUAAGGUAACGGCUUACCAAGGCAACGAUGCGUAGCCGACCUGAGAGGGUGAUCGGCCACACUGGAACUGAGACACGGUCCAGACUCCUACGGGAGGCAGCAGUAGGGAAUCUUCCGCAAUGGGCGAAAGCCUGACGGAGCAACGCCGCGUGAGUGAUGAAGGUCUUCGGAUCGUAAAACUCUGUUAUUAGGGAAGAACAAAUGUGUAAGUAACUAUGCACGUCUUGACGGUACCUAAUCAGAAAGCCACGGCUAACUACGUG
rnacentral:rRNA from 1 species